GUGAAAGUACGCAAACCUGACUGACCCCUCUAAGUCCUGCACAAACAUCCUGUUCCGUCCACCUGACGGUCCCCAACAGCCGUGGCUCCACAGCUGUCCGUAUUUCUCAUUGGUCCUCGCUGAAGGCCGGGGACACGGGCAGUCCAACCUCGGGAAGCCUUGUGACCCAUCACAUCAUCCCCCGGGGGUGGGGCAGAGACUGCUCCUUCAAGAAUAUAUAGGAGACCUCCCUGCACUCACUCCCAAACUGAGUUCCCUGGUUGGUGAAGCAUCCGCGUCUCAACCAUGAAGCUGGUAAUCGUCCUUGUUCUGGUUACCCUUCCUCUCUGCUGCUAUGCGGGUUCUGGAUGCUCAGAGCUUCAAAAUAUGCUAACUCUGGCAAUCAAUGGAACCAAGGAUGAACUAUUUAACGCAGGGGAAAAAUACAUUACUACUGACUCGAUGAGAAUUGCUAUUUCUAAAGCAAAGGACUGCUUUUUACAACAACCAGCACAAAACUUGGACCUCACUCUAGAUUUAAUGAAUCUCAUCUACAACAGUCAGAAAUGUUCCGCUUAUUAAUUCCUUGAACUUCCUAGCUUCGAGAAAUUGCCACGGACUUACCGCCUGUGAACAAAGACCGAAUAUCUGAAAAUUUUCAAAUAUUUCUUCCUGCCAUCUACAGAUCAUUUCCACCCCUGCCUCUCUCAGUUCACAAAUCACUCUCUUUCAAUGCAGAGGCUUAGCUGAUGUAGACUAACCCACGUUUCUCUUUGCAAUAAAGUGAAUGCAACAACCCCCUCAUUCUCAUCAGUCUCCUUCUCUCUCAUGGACCGAAAUGAUGAAGGGCCAGAGAGCCAGACCGGAUACUGGACGUACGUCACUGCUCUUUCAGUGAAAGGGAAAUAGAAGGUGCGCCGUCCCCUGAUGUUGUCCAGAGGGCCGGGACCCUCAGUCCAAUUCUCUCCUUCACAU
rnacentral:lncRNA from 1 species